AUUUAAAAUUAUAGUUAGUUCAGAAUGUAAGUUGUGGGGAGUUCCUUUCAGUUACAAUUCAUUUCUCUGCAUUCAGUCUGGGUCCGUUUACCUUUGAAGCAGUUGCUUCUGUUGUUUGAUUUUUCCCCCCAAUUAUUUAUUCUCAUAUAUGACCUCACAGAAAUAGAAAACUUUUAUUUUGAGGAUAAAGUGUAGAGAAGAGGAAUCUUCAACCUUUAUUUUUUUCCACUAACCGUUUAAUAAUUCUGCUUAAUGUUAAGAGGAAUUCAGAUGUUUGUAAACCCAUAGUUCUAGCACCUACUGACUUAGUAGCUUACUUCUCUACCCAAUGCAGUUAUCCUCAGUAUUCCAGUAUAUUUGCUCUAUUCUCAUGACGCAAAGGGCAGAUCACCUACUGACUUGGUAGCUUACUUCUCUACCUGAUGCAGUUACUGUCAAUAUUCCAGUGUAUUUGCUCUAUUCCCCCAUAAAGGAAAGGGCAGAUUAGGAGAAGGCAAGUUAACUUAGCCAUAAAAGGAGUAUUUAGAGAUCAUUCUAGGUUAUCUGAAGUCAGUACACACCAAGUGUCAUUGAAACCGCAACCUAUAUAAUUCUAACUGGUGUUCAGAAUGAUGGCACUGCAGGAUAAUCUCAUUCAGAAAAGUUAAUGAGCCAUUUUAUUGAAAUAGCCAUACAGAAUUAAACAGACUGUACAUGUGUGAAGUGAAUUAUCAGGUAUGUAAAUUGUAUCUUAAAAUAUAUUUUAAAAGUGGAAGUCGAGGCAAAGAGGAAUAAUAGCAUUUGUAUGUUUCUCAGUAGUUGAUUGUCACUUAUUUAAAAAUCAUUG
rnacentral:lncRNA from 1 species